rnacentral:rRNA from 1 species
UGGGGAAUAUUGGACAAUGGGCGCAAGCCUGAUCCAGCCAUGCCGCGUGAGUGAUGAAGGCCUUAGGGUUGUAAAGCUCUUUCGCCGACGAAGAUAAUGACGGUAGUCGGAGAAGAAGCCCCGGCUAACUUCGUGCCAGCAGCCGCGGUAAUACGAAGGGGGCUAGCGUUGUUCGGAAUCACUGGGCGUAAAGCGCACGUAGGCGGAUUGUUAAGUCAGGGGUGAAAGCCUGGAGCUCAACUCCAGAACUGCCCUUGAUACUGGCAAUCUCGAGUCCGGAAGAGGUAAGUGGAACUGCGAGUGUAGAGGUGAAAUUCGUAGAUAUUCGCAAGAACACCAGUGGCGAAGGCGGCUUACUGGUCCGGUACUGACGCUGAGGUGCGAAAGCGUGGGGAGCAAAACAGGAUUAGAUACCCUGGUAGUCCACGCCGUAAAACGAUGGAGGCUAGCCGUUGGCGAGCAUGCUCGUCAGUGGCGCAGCUAACGCAUUAAGCCUCCCCGCCUGGGGGAGUACGGUCGCAAGAUUAAAAACUCAAAGGAAUUGACGGGGGUCAUAGCUGUUUUCCCU